rnacentral:rRNA from 1 species
CACGGGGGUGGCAAGCGUUGUCCGGAAUUACUAGGCGUAAAGGGCAGGUAGGCGGAUAUUCAAGUCAGGUGUUAAAGGCAUCAGCUCAACUGGUGUACGGCAUUUGAAACUGGGUAUCUAGAGUCAGGUAGAGGUAGAUGGAAUUCCUAGUGUAGCGGUGGAAUGCGCAGAGAUUAGGAAGAACACCAAAGGCGAAGGCAAUCUACUGGGCCAUGACUGACGCUAAACUGCGAAGGUGUGGGUAUCAAACAGG